rnacentral:tRNA from 1 species
CCCGGCGGUGGCGAGGAGCGCGGGGCUGCGCGGGCCCGCGGCGCAGAUCGUGAGGUCGGCGUCCAGGUCGUCGCCGGUGCCGAGCC